GCUGGUAUAGUUUAACGAAAACACAGGAUUGUGAUUCCUGGGAUAAGAGUUCAAACCUCCUUACCCGCC
rnacentral:tRNA from 1 species